UAGUAAUCGCGGAUCAGCAUGCCGCGGUGAAUACGUUCCCGGGCCUUGUACACACCGCCCGUCACACCAUGGGAGUCGGUAACACCCGAAGCCUGUAGUCUAACCGCAAGGAGGACGCAGUCGAAGGUGGGAUUGAUGACUGGGGUGAAGUCGUAACAAGGUAGC
rnacentral:rRNA from 1 species